rnacentral:tRNA from 1 species
GCCCAGGUGGCGGAAUUGGUAGACGCACUACCUUGAGGUGGUAGCGACUUAGGUCGUAGGGGUUCGAGUCCCUCUUGGGCACCA